GACGAACCGUGCGAACGUUGUUCGGAAUCACUGGGCUUAAAGGGCGCGUAGGCGGGCUGACAAGUCUGGGGUGAAAUGCCGCGGCUCAACCGUGGAACUGCCUCAGAUACUGUCGGCCUCGAGGAAGGUAGGGGCAUGCGGAACUGUAGGUGGAGCGGUGAAAUGCGUUGGUAUCUACAGGAACUCCGGUGGCGAAAGCGGCGUGCUGGACCUUUUCUGACGCUGAGGCGCGAAAGCUAGGGGAGCAAACGGG
rnacentral:rRNA from 1 species